GAUGAACGCUGGCGGCGUGCCUAAUACAUGCAAGUCGAGCGAACAGACGAGGAGCUUGCUCCUCUGACGUUAGCGGCGGACGGGUGAGUAACACGUGGAUAACCUACCUAUAAGACUGGGAUAACUUCGGGAAACCGGAGCUAAUACCGGAUAAUAUAUUGAACCGCAUGGUUCAAUAGUGAAAGACGGUUUUGCUGUCACUUAUAGAUGGAUCCGCGCCGCAUUAGCUAGUUGGUAAGGUAACGGCUUACCAAGGCGACGGUGCGUAGCCGACCUGAGAGGGUGAUCGGCCACACUGGACCUGAGACACGGUCCAGACUCCUACGGGAGGCAGCAGUAGGGAAUCUUCCGCAAUGGGCGAAAGCCUGACGGAGCAACGCCGCGUGAGUGAUGAAGGUCUUCGGAUCGUAAAACUCUGUUAUUAGGGAAGAACAAAUGUGUAAGUAACUAUGCACGUCUUGACGGUACCUAAUCAGAAAGCCACGGCUAACUACGUG
rnacentral:rRNA from 1 species